rnacentral:tRNA from 1 species
UCUCUUGUAGCUCAGUUGGUUAGAGCGCUGCACCGGAAUCGCAGGGCCGUAGCUUCAAUCCCUACCAGAGGAC